rnacentral:pre_miRNA from 1 species
GUGUGUGUGGAUGGUGUUCAGCACCAAGGACAGGUGUGUAUACCUGUGUGUGGAUGGUGUUCAGCACCAAAGACAGUGUGUUUACCU